GCUUGGUAACUGAGUGGGUAAAGCGAAUUAUUUACUCAGUACCGAGAAUCGAUGGUUCGAGUCCAUCCCAGAGCA